UACGUAGGUGGCAAGCGUUGUCCGGAUUUACUGGGCGUAAAGAGCGCGCAGGCGGCUGGUCAAGUCCGAUGUGAAAUCUCCCGGCUCAACUGGGAACUGCAUCGGAAACUGAUCGGCUUGAAGAUGGGAGAGGGUAGUGGAAUUCCCGGUGUAGUGGUGAAAUGCGUAGAUAUCGGGAGGAACACCAGUGGCGAAGGCGACUACCUGG
rnacentral:rRNA from 1 species